rfam:Streptomyces sp. PVA 94-07 chromosome, whole genome shotgun sequence.
UCGGCCCCGGUUCACGUGAGCGCAAACCGCGCGUACGACCCGGCGCC